CCGACGGUGAGAGACGAAAGCUGGGGGAGCAAACCGGAUUAGAUACCCGGGUAGUCCCAGCUGUAAACGAUGCGCGUUAGGUGUGUCAGUGACCACGUGUCACUGAUGUGCCGAAGGGAAACCGUGAAACGCGCCGCCUGGGGAGUACGGUCGCAAGGCUGAAACUUAAAGGAAUUGACGGGGGAGCACCACAACGGGUGGAGCCUGCGGUUUAAUCGGACUCAACGCCGGAAAUCUCACCGGAUAA
rnacentral:rRNA from 1 species